CUUUCUUAAUCUGUUUCCUGUUUUUGAUCCCAGUCUCUUAGAUCUGAAGUUUAGAGGUACAGGGAUUUAUCCAUCAAUAUUGAUGAGUUGGUAUGUGAGAAUUAAGAAUCUAUCUUGAUGCUUGAUUUAAUUAAGUGGGUUGUACACAUGCAGUACUAUGUGAGUCCAGAUGGCCGCCAAUUUCGAUCAGAGAAAGAAGUUGUGAAGUACCUUGAUGAUAUGCAAGCUAACAAAAAUAAAGAGGUAUGUGAUCAUAGAAUCGAAAUAUUUCUAGAAAUACUCUUAUUGUGAAUCAAAACUUAUUCUCUUUUCUUUCAAUAAUACACUCUCCCCCUAGCUAAUUUCUCUCUUAUCUCAAGAACCUCAAAAAUAGAGAGAAAUUUUUUUUUUUUAUUGUAUGCAAUUUCAGUUUUCCAUCAAAGGCUGACAUCCUCCAUUGAUGAUCAGAUAUUGGUGGUGGUUGAAGAGGGAUAAGCAGACAUAUAUUUGUUUAUACGCAAAUAAAAACAUAGAGUGACAAGCUCAGAGGAAUUGGGAUUGUCGAAGGAAGACUACUCGGACAUGGACAAGCUCAGAUGUCCCCAUCCUACCGUAUGCUCAAUGGUUUUUCCUCACGAGAAAUAUUAGUAAACUUCUUGCAUCUGCAACAGCCUGUGUAGUUUGAAAUCUGGGAUUUGACGAGUUUAAAAUCUCUCACAUACACAUAUCCGAGUUUUUAUCAAUAUGCAAAUAAAAUUAUAUUCAUUUUUAUGUGAAUUUGAGUAAAACAUUAAUGCAAAUAUGGGUUUGUUAUAAACAAUGAUAUUUCAUAUAAUUUUAUAUUUUUCU
rnacentral:lncRNA from 1 species